rnacentral:tRNA from 1 species
GAACUCAGCUGGUAGAGCAUGAGGCUCUUAAUCUCAGGGUUGUGAGUUUGAGCCCCACGUUGGCCA